rnacentral:rRNA from 1 species
UACGGGAGGCAGCAGUAAGGAAUAUUGGACAAUGGGCGCAAGCCUGAUCCAGCUAUCCCGCGUGCAGGAUGACGGCCCUAUGGGUUGUAAACUGCUUUUAUACAGGAAGAAACGUCCCGAUUAAUCGGGACCUGACGGUACUGUACGAAUAAGCACCGGCUAACUCCGUGCCAGCAGCCGCGGUAAU